GAACCAAUGAGAGUGCCCAGAAGUGCGGCGCCGCAGCUGUUGCUCCUGGCGCGGCCUUUGAAAGGGAAACUGUAGCUGAGGAGUCAUGGUGGGACCUGGGCCCUCUGCUGCCACUGCUGCCUCCGCCGCCGCUGUGGAAGAGCGGCAGAAAAAGCUGCAGGAGUACCUAGCAGCCAAAGGAAAACUGAAAAACCAAAACACCAAGUGAGUUUUAUUUACCCACAGUAAUGCCAGUUUUGUUGCCAUCGUUGCUAACAGCAAC
rnacentral:lncRNA from 1 species